GAAAAAGAAAAGAAAAAUGGCAAACGCAGACUUGAGUGUGAGAAUGUGUGAGUGUGUGUGUGUGUGUGUGAUAUAUAUUGGUGGCGGUCCCUUCCUCCUAGUUGUCCUCUCCUUCCCCGUCUUGCGGUGGCGCCGGUUCCGGCGGUUGCUCGUCGGCUGCCAUGUCCGGCAGCGUAUCCUGGGACGGGCUCUUCUUCAUCAUGUGGCUGUAGCUCCCCUUCUCCAUGAACAGCUGCGCGAAGUGGAUCUUGCAGUACAGAACGCCGUUGAGCGCGGCGUAGGAGGAGGUGGUGAGGAUGCAGCCCCCGUGCGAGCACUUGAAGCAGCUCUUGUGGUAGGACUCGCCUUCCAGAGUUAACUGAAGAAGAGAACAAUUUUGUUAGCAUUACUACAUACGCUGCCAUUAGAAUCUAGUUAUUAGUUGGGGAAGAGAAAUUAUUGAUCGUUAUUAAUGUUUCCCACGAGUGUGUCAGGUUCGUGUUAUUAGGUCUUGGGAAGUUCUUAAAGAUCAUCAUUUCUGUACCUUCUCCAGCGGGUACACUGUUUUCUGGCAAGCUGCACACUUAUCCUGAGUACCAGAAAACGCAGAUGAUAGCUUGCUGGGGGCCCUUGUCUGCAAAGUGCAAAUGGAUUCCAACAGUUUGUUUGGCAAACAAUGAUCCAGUUAUUACUACAAUAUAGAAACCAAGACAUCCCAGAAACAAUCACGACGAGAUACUAGUUUCCGUGAGGCUAGGCUGUAUGUACCAGUUCACCCUUGUCUGAAGACUUGCCACCUGAAUGAAGCACACAAGAAAGCUUUCAGACAGAGCACACACUGCUGUGGGAACUGAACGCCACGCCCACGUCGUAGCGUAGCUACAUUACCUGGCGUGAAGUUCUUGGAGAAGCUCCCGGUCUCCUUGAAGAGCUGCUCGAAGUGGGUCUUGCAGUACAGCACACCGUCCAUGGAAGAGUAGCUGCACAUCUGCAGGCGGCCAUCAAACGGUUUAUUUGCAGCGUCAGAAACUCUUUAACUCGGCCGUUUUUUUCUUCUUUCCCAUGGCAUGCAGACAUGGCAUUUGGAUGCACGCACGUACGGCACGACGUACCGAGAGGAUCCCUUUGCAGUGGCUGCACUUGAAGCAUGUCUUAUGGUAGGUGACGCCGUCGGCCGUGAGGAGGUCGAUGAAGUGGACGGUCUUGUCGCACUCCGCGCACUUGUCCUGCGUGCCGGUG
rnacentral:lncRNA from 1 species